GGCCCCGUAGCUCAGCGGAUAGAGCACCUGAUUCCUAAUCAGGGGGUCGCAGGUUCAAGUCCUGCCGGGGUCGCCA
rnacentral:tRNA from 1 species